rnacentral:rRNA from 1 species
GAUGAACGCUGGCGGCGUGCCUAAUACAUGCAAGUCGAGCGAACGGACGAGAAGCUUGCUUCUCUGAUGUUAGCGUCGGACGGGUGAGUAACACGUGGAUAACCUACCUAUAAGACUGGGAUAACUUCGUGAAACCGGAGCUAAUACCGGAUAAUAUUUUGAACCGCAUGGUUCAAGAGUGAAAGACGUUCUUGCUGUCACUUAUAGAUGGAUCCGCGCUGCAUUAGCUAGUUGGUAAGGUAACGGCUUACCAAGGCAACGAUGCAUAGCCGACCUGAGAGGGUGAUCGGCCACACUGGAACUGAGACACGGUCCAGACUCCUACGGGAGGCAGCAGUAGGGAAUCUUCCGCAAUGGGCGAAAGCCUGACGGAGCAAAGCCGCGUGAGUGAUGAAGGUCUUCGGAUCGUAAAACUCUGUUAUUAGGGAAGAACAGAUGUGUAAGUAACUGUGCACAUCUUGACGGUACCUAAUCAGAAAGCCACGGCUAACUACGUG